CUUCGGGAUCGCGGCGNGAAAGACCCGCAAGGGGUUGCCCAGAGGACGAGCCUGCGGCCCAUCAGCUAGUUGGCGAGGUAACGGCUCACCAAGGCGAAGACGGGUAGCUGGUCUGAGAGGAUGAUCAGCCACACUGGAACUGAGACACGGUCCAGACUCCUACGGGAGGCAGCAGUGGGGAAUAUUGCGCAAUGGGCGAAAGCCUGACGCAGCCACGCCGCGUGAGCGAUGAAGGCCUUCGGGUCGUAAAGGCUCUGUGGGGAGAGAAGAAUAAAGCCUGUGAAGAGCAGGCCUUGACGGUAUCUCCUUAGCAAGCACCGGCUAACUCCGUG
rnacentral:rRNA from 1 species